rnacentral:rRNA from 1 species
AGGAAUUUUGCGCAAUGGGGGAAACCCUGACGCAGCAACGCCGCGUGAGUGAUGAAGGCUUUCGGGUCGUAAAGCUCUGUCAAGUGGGAAGAACCACUUCGAGGAUAAUACCCUUGAGGUCUGACGGUACCACUGCAGGAAGCACCGGCUAACUCCUUGCCAGCAGCCGCGGUAAUACGGGGGGUGCAAGCGUUAUUCGGAUUUCCUGGGCGUAAAGCGCGCGUAGGCGGCCGUUUAAGUCAGAUGUGAAAGCCCGGGGCUCAACCCCGGAAGUGCAUUUGAUACUAUUCGGCUUGAGUAUGGGAGAGGGAAGUGGAAUUCCUGGUGUAGAGGUGAAAUUCGUAGAUAUCAGGAGGAACACCGGUGGCGAAGGCAACUUCCUGGACCAAUACUGACGCUGAGGCGCGAAGGCGUGGGGAGCAAAC